rnacentral:rRNA from 1 species
UUUUAUGAGAGUUUGAUCCUGGCUCAGGACGAACGCUGGCGGCGUGCCUAAUACAUGCAAGUCGAACGCUUCUUUUUCCACCGGAGCUUGCUCCACCGGAAAAAGAGGAGUGGCGAACGGGUGAGUAACACGUGGGUAACCUGCCCAUCAGAAGGGGAUAACACUUGGAAACAGGUGCUAAUACCGUAUAACAAUCAAAACCGCAUGGUUUUGAUUUGAAAGGCGCUUUCGGGUGUCGCUGAUGGAUGGACCCGCGGUGCAUUAGCUAGUUGGUGAGGUAACGGCUCACCAAGGCCACGAUGCAUAGCCGACCUGAGAGGGUGAKCGGCCACAUUGGGACUGAGACACGGC